UGUGCUGUCGUGGCCCGCCUCCGACUGCUUCAGCAAGCCAAGAAACUGGAACGCGCCCAUGCCCGGCGACCUCGGCAUCUCCAUCGAUGAUGUAUCAUUGGCUUUGGCAACAUUGAUCCUUCUUCACGUAUGCUGGUUGUUGCAUUUGAAUUCAGAUUCUCUUGAUUGGAGUGGAGAGGAGCAGAGACGAGAGGAGCAGCAGAAGUGGUCAGCGCAGCGGCUGACCUCGAGCUCUUGAUUGGAGUGGGG